rnacentral:rRNA from 1 species
GGGAUUGCCCCAGUAACGGCGAGUGAAGCGGCAACAGCUCAAAUUUGAAAUCUGGUCCCCCCCGCGGGGGCCCGAGUUGUAAUUUGCAGAGGAUGCUUUUGGCGAGGCGCCUUCCGAGUUCCCUGGAACGGGACGCCACAGAGGGUGAGAGCCCCGUCUGGUCGGCCGCCGAGCCUCUGUAAAGCUCCUUCGACGAGUCGAGUAGUUUGGGAAUGCUGCUCAAAAUGGGAGGUAUAUGUCUUCUAAAGCUAAAUACCGGCCAGAGACCGAUAGCGCACAAGUAGAGUGAUCGAAAGAUGAAAAGCACCUUGAAAAGGGGGUUAAACAGUACGUGAAAUUGUUGAAAGGGAAGCGUUUGUGACCAGACUUGGGCUCGGCGGAUCAUCCGGCGGUCUCCCGCCGGUGCACUCUGCCCCGUCCCAGGCCAGCAUCGGUUCGCGCCGGGGGACAAAGGCGGCGGGAACGUGGCUCCCCAGGGAGUGUUAUAGCCCGCCGCGCCAUGCCCCGGGGCGGACCGAGGUUCGCGCGUCCGCUAGGAUGCUGGCGUAAUGGUCACCAGCGACCCGUCUUGAAACACGGACCGAGGAGUCGUCUUCGUAUGCGAGUGUUCGGGUGUCAAACCCCUACGCGGAAUGAAAGUGAACGCGGGUGAGAGCUUCGGCGCAUCAUCGACCGAUCCUGAUGUUCUCGGAUGGAUUUGAGUAGGAGCAUACGGGGCCGGACCCGAAAGAAGGUGAACUAUGCCUGUGUAGGGUGAAGCCAGAGGAAACUCUGGUGGAGGCUCGCAGCGGUUCUGACGUGCAAAUCGAUCGUCAAACAUGGGCAUGGGGGCGAAAGACUAAUCGAACCUUCUAG